rnacentral:rRNA from 1 species
CUGGCUCAGGAUGAACGCUAGCGAUAGGCCUAACACAUGCAAGUCGAGGGGCAGCACAUGAGUAGCAAUACGAUGGUGGCGACCGGCGCACGGGUGAGUAACACGUAUGCAACCUACCUUUAACAGGGGGAUAACCCGUUGAAAAACGGACUAAUACUCCAUAACACAGGGGUCCCGCAUGGGAAUAUUUGUUAAAGAUUAAUCGGUUGAAGAUGGGCAUGCGUUCCAUUAGCUUGUUGGUGAGGUAACGGCUCACCAAGGCCACGAUGGAUAGGGGAACUGAGAGGUUUAUCCCCCACACUGGAACUGAGACACGGUCCAGACUCCUACGGGAGGCAGCAGUGAGGAAUAUUGGUCAAUGGAGGCAACUCUGAACCAGCCAAGUCGCGUGAAGGAUGAAGGUCUUAUGGAUUGUAAACUUCUUUUGCAAGGGAAUAAAGUGGGGGACGUGUCCUCCUUUGCAUGUACCUUGCGAAUAAGGAUCGGCUAACUCCGUGCCAGCCGCCGC